AUGGGGGAAGUGAGCAAUUUCUUUCAUAUUAUUAAUGAUAUAAUUUGUGAUUGGUUGGUGCCAAAGUUUAUAUAUUUUUCAAAUUUAUAUCUCUUGGGAUUGCCACUUGUCUCACCUUCCCCACACUCUGGAUUCUUGUCUUUCUCUCUCCCUAAUUUCUAUUUCUUCUUCCUCCUUCCUAUCCCUUUUCCAUUUCCUUUCAGGUUUAAAGCAACAAGGUGUUUAUUUUAUUAG